rnacentral:lncRNA from 1 species
CAUCUUCUUCAGUAAAUUUGUUCUCAUCCUCAGUUAGUUCAUAAUCUUGAGUUCAUGAUUAUUGUUUGGCAACUCCACGUUGUACACAUUAGCUUUGUCCAAAGAGCUAAUAUCCAAAUAAUUCCCCACGGAUAGGUUAAACUUGUGGUGUAUGAUUUGCACAAAUUUUGCCUAGUUAAUUAUUCUUGAUGAUGCAUUUUUGAAAAGGUAAUUAUUCAGUUUUA